rnacentral:rRNA from 1 species
AGUGAACGCUGGCGGUAGGCCUAACACAUGCCAGUCGAACGGCAGCACAGUAAGAGCUUGCUCUUACGGGUGGCGAGUGGCGGACGGGUGAGGAAUACAUCGGAAUCUACUUUUUCGUGGGGGAUAACGUAGGGAAACUUACGCUAAUACCGCAUACGACCUACGGGUGAAAGCAGGGGAUCUUCGGACCUUGCGCGAUUGAAUGCGCCGAUGUCGGAUUAGCUAGUUGGCGGGGUAAAGGCCCACCAAGGCGACGAUCCGUAGCUGGUCUGAGAGGAUGAUCAGCCACACUGGAACUGAGACACGGUCCAGACUCCUACGGGAGGCAGCAGUGGGGAAUAUUGGACAAUGGGCGCAAGCCUGAUCCAGCCAUACCGCGUGGGUGAAGAAGGCCUUCGGGUUGUAAAGCCCUUUUGUUGGGAAAGAAAAGCAGCAGGUUAAUACCCCGCUGUUCUGACGGUACCCAAAGAAUAAGCACCGGCUAACGUCGUG